AACGCGAAGAACCUUACCUGGGCUAGAAGUGUAGAGGACGACAUCAGAGAUGAUGUUUCUCGAAAGGGUCUUUACAUAGGUGCUGCAUGGCUGUCGUCAGCUCGUGCCGUGAGGUGUUUGGUUAAGUCCAGCAACGAGCGCAACCCUUAUCGUUAGUUGCCAACGCGUAAUGGCGGGAACUCUAACGAGACUGCCUGGGUUAACCAGGAGGAAGGUGAGGAUGACGUCAAGUCCGCAUGGCCUUUAUGUCCAGGGCUACACACGUGCUACAAUGGUCGGUACAGAAGGCAGCGAAAUCGCAAGAUGAAGCAAAUCCCAAAAAACCGAUCUCAGUUCAGAUUGUAGUCUGCAACUCGGCUACAUGAAGUUGGAAUUGCUAGUAAUGGCGUGUCAGCAACAACGCCGUGAAUACGUUCCCGGGCCUUGUACACACCGAUACUC
rnacentral:rRNA from 1 species